rnacentral:rRNA from 1 species
CCUACGGGGGGCAGCAGUGGGGAAUAUUCCACAAUGGGCGAAAGCCAGAUGCAGCGACGCCGCGUGAGCGAAGAAGGCCUUCGGGUCGUAAAGCUCUGUCAUAUGGGAAGAAGAAUGACGGUACCAUAGGAGGAAGCCCCGGCUAACUACGUGCCAGCAGGCCCGGUAAUACGUAGGGGGCGAGCGUUGUCCGGAAGGACUGGGCGUACAGGGUACGUAGGCGGCUGGCUAAGUCAGAUGUGAAAGGCAUAGGCUUAACCUGUGUAAGCAUUUGAAACUGUCUAGCUUGAGUCAAGGAGAGGAAAGUGGAAUCGCUGGUGGAGCGGUGAAAUGCGUAGAUAUCAGGAAGAAUACCAGUGGCGAAGGCGACUUUCUGGACUUAGACUGACGCUGCGGUGCGAAAGCGUGGGGAGCAAACAGGAUUAGAUACCCGAGUAGUC